CGGCACGGGAGAAGACACACGUGCUAUUUAUAGGACGUCGUUGGAAUAAACUUCUCAACCUGCCGGUCUGAAAAGCUAAGCAAACAUGAGCGACAAGGGGACAGUCUCACCAAAAGAGAAGGAGGCAACAGAGAAGAGGGGGCGUGGAAGACCCCGCAAGCAGCCCCAGGUAAAAACCUCUGAAGAACCAAGUGGGUCCCCUACUCCAAAGAGGCCCAGAGGACGGCCGAAGGGCAGCAAAAACAAGACAACCGGCAAGGGCAAA